rnacentral:rRNA from 1 species
UUCCGGUUGAUCCUGCCGGACCCCACUGCUAUCGAGGUGGGACUAAGCCAUGCUAGUUGAGCGCACAGAACUAUGUCUGUGAGCGGCACACUGCUCAGUAACACGUAGCUAACCUACCCUUAGGACGUGGACAACCCCGAGAAAUUGGGGCUGAUCCGCGAUAGAUGUAUUGUCCUGGAAUGGUAUUACGUCUAAAGGUAUCCCAUACAUGUUUGGUAUACGCCUAAGGAUGGGGCUGCGGCCGAUCAGGCUGUUGGUGAGGUAAUGGCUCACCAAACCUUUGACCGGUACGGGCCAUGAGAGUGGUAGCCCGGAGAUGGACACUGAGAUAAGGGUCCAGGCCCUACGGGGCGCAGCAGGCGCGAAACCUCCUCAAUGCACUUACGUGCGAAGGGGCUACCUCGAGUGCCACCUGAUGAAGGUGGCUUUUCCUAGGUCUAAAAAGCCUUGGGAAUAAGAGGGGGGCAAGACUGGUGUCAGCCGCCGCGGUAACACCAGCCCCUCGAGUGGUGGGGAUGAUUAUUGGGCCUAAAGCGUCCGUAGCCUGCCGCAUAAGUUUUCCGUUAAAUCCAGCGUCUCAAGCGUUGGACUGCGGGAAAUACUGUACGGCUAGAGAGUGGGAGAGGUCAGCGGUAUUCUGGGGGUAGGGGCGAAAUCCUUUGAUCCCCGGAGGACCACCAGUGGCGAAGGCUGCUGUCUAGAACACGUCUGACGGUCAGGGACGAAAGCUGGGGUAGCGAACCGGAUUAGAUACCCGGGUAGUCCCAGCCGUAAACGAUGCAUGCUAGGUGUUGGGUUGGCCACGAGCCAACCCAGUGCCGCAGGGAAGCCGUUAAGCAUGCCGCCUGGGAAGUACGAUCGCAAGGUUGAAACUUAAAGGAAUUGGCGGGGGAGCACCACCAGGCGUGAAGCCUGCGGUUUAAUUGGAGUCAACGCCGGA